UACGUAGGUGGCAGGCGUUGUCCGGAUUUAUUGGGUUUAAAGGGUGCGUAGGCGGUUCCUUAAGUCAGUGGUGAAAUACUUCAGCUCAACUGGAGAGGUGCCAUUGAUACUGGGGAACUUGAGUACUGAUGAGGUAGGCGGAAUGGACGGUGUAGCGGUGAAAUGCUUAGAUAUCGUCCAGAACACCGAUAGCGAAGGCAGCUUACUAAAGAGUAACUGACGCUGAGGCACGAAAGUGUGGGGAUCAAACAGG
rnacentral:rRNA from 1 species